ACCCAUGCUAGGAAAGCGAGUGGCCGUAAAUGAAGCUCGUGUACCAUGGAUGUUACAUAUACGUAUAAUGAGCGCAUGUAUCAAACGACAAGCGGUCGCGAAGAAUCGAGAAUCGGAAGAGAACUCGUCUGAACUUCAGUCA